AACGAACGCUGGCGGCGUGCUUAAUACAUGCAAGUCGAACGAGAACUUAGAGCUUGCUCUAAGGGACAGUGGCAGACGGGUGAGUAACGCGUGGCAACCUACCCUUCACUACGGGACAACAGUUGGAAACGACUGCUAAUACCGUAUACGUCCUCCGGGAGAAAGAUUUAUCGGUGAUGGAUGGGGCCGCGUUAGAUUAGCUUGUUGGUGGGGUAAUGGCCUACCAAGGCGACGAUCUAUAGCGGGUCUGAGAGGAUGAUCCGCCACACUGGGACUGAGACACGGCCCAGACUCCUACGGGAGGCAGCAGUAGGGAAUAUUGGACAAUGGGCGCAAGCCUGAUCCAGCAACGCCGCGUGAAUGAUGAAGGCCUUAGGGUUGUAAAAUUCUUUCGCUAGGGAAGAUAAUGACUGUACCUAGUAAAGAAGCCCCGGCUAACUCCG
rnacentral:rRNA from 1 species